rnacentral:other from 1 species
UGACCCCUGCAGUGUUCGUAUAGAAAGCGUACGUUUGAAAGAACCGAUACCCGUGCUCAGGGAAAUCGGGCCUUGUUGGAUCGGAAAUGCCUACACGAUAGGACUUUCGGACAGAAGCGACGAUUACCCACUUGGCAGUAAAGGGUUCUUUUCAAAAUCCUUUCUUACGGCACAGGUGGAGGUGAG